UGUCCCUAUCAUUUGAACAAUAUCACUCUCGCGGUGUUGUCACCCGUUGCGUGUGCAAUCAACUCAGAGUGCGUAAUAGGCACGAGCCUUUUCUAAACAGCGGCAGUGUCUUUAUGUCGAAUCAUUUAAAGCACAUACCGCCAUGCGACAAACGAAGAACAGAGGUGAAAUAUCUCACAUGGGUGUCGCUCGUGUGCCAUAUGUGGCUGUGGACGACACACGUGCCCUUGACUCACCUUCCACAGCAGAAGGCGCCGAGUGAAAACGGAACCACUGGGACUGUGCUGUUUGAACCAAGACCAGGGUCUCCACAUCGCCUGGCUGUGUGUGCCGGAUGGCGAACAGAGGGUUGUAGGGGUAUUUCUGCGGUGGCGCUGGGCACUGUUUGGGUCCGUAUGUGCCAGCGGAGCUCUUUGGUGUGGGAAGUGAUGACUCCUGACGGCCGCGCAGGGCUGCUGCCUGCACUUCCAGCCUUGCUGCCGCGCUCGGACAGGCGGCUCCUCCGACUGUGUCCCGGGAGGGCAAGCGGAGGGUCGCGUCGUGGCGUCGCGGGCGGAGGGUCGCGGCCGACGAAAGGACAGCGUGUCCGUCAAAGCUCUCCCUACCUCCCGUCCCUCGCCCUCAACUUUCAGGAACUGUGCGGCUUGCUUCAGACAGGCCUCAAAGCCGUCCUGAAAGUGCCGUCGUUCCGACCCUUCGCGUGGAACCGUGUUCUCGGUAUUCCGCAGGAGAAGGACUGUGUGCUCCAGGAUCUCAGCCUUCUCCACUCGUCCACUGGCAAGACACUAUAAAAGAGGUGCCGAAGCGAUUGGUACAUUGUUACUGAACUGGGACAGGUGAGAGCAACAGGGCCCUCAGACUCUCCAGACUGCGGUUCAUUCUCUCUCUCCGAUGUCUCUCCACCUCUGACUUUAGGAGCUGUCAAAAUAACAUGGCACGAAGAACAAACGAAGGAUAACUGUCGGUAUGCCUUUUAAACUAACCAUGGUGAAUACCAGCGUCUUUCACUCCGCCU